rnacentral:rRNA from 1 species
AGUGAACGCUGGCGGUAGGCCUAACACAUGCAAGUCGAACGGCAGCACAGUAAGAGCUUGCUCUUACGGGUGGCGAGUGGCGGACGGGUGAGGAAUACAUCGGAAUCUACUUUUUCGUGGGGGAUAACGUAGGGAAACUUACGCUAAUACCGCAUACGACCUACGGGUGAAAGCAGGGGAUCUUCGGACCUUGCGCGAUUGAAUGAGCCGAUGUCGGAUUAGCUAGUUGGCGGGGUAAAGGCCCACCAAGGCGACGAUCCGUAGCUGGUCUGAGAGGAUGAUCAGGGACACUGGAACGGAGAAACGGGACAGACUCCUACGGGAGGCAGCAGUGGGGAAUAUUGGACAAUGGGGGCAAUCCUGAUCCAGCCAGACCGAGGGGGGGAAGAAGGCCCUCGGGUUGUAAAGCCCGUUUGUUGGGAAAGAAAAGCAGCAGGGUAAUACCCCGCUGUUGUGACGGGACCCAAAGAAUAAGCACCGGCUAACUUCGUG